GACGAACGCUGGCGGCGUGCUUAACACAUGCAAGUCGAACGAAGAGCGACGGAAGCUUGCUUCUAUCAAUCUUAGUGGCGAACGGGUGGGUAACGCGUAAUCAACCUGCCCUUCAGAGGGGGACAACAGUUGGAAACGACUGCUAAUACCGCAUACGAUCUAACCUCGGCAUCGAGGAUAGAUGAAAGGUGGCCUCUACAUGUAAGCUAUCACUGAAGGAGGGGAUUGCGUCUGAUUAGCUAGUUGGAGGGGUAACGGCCCACCAAGGCGAUGAUCAGUAGCCGGUCUGAGAGGAUGAACGGCCACAUUGGGACUGAGACACGGCCCAGACUCCUACGGGAGGCAGCAGUGGGGAAUCUUCCGCAAUGGACGAAAGUCUGACGGAGCAACGCCGCGUGAGUGAUGACGGCCUUCGGGUUGUAAAGCUCUGUUAAUCGGGACGAAAGGCCUUCUUGCGAAUAGUGAGAAGGAUUGACGGUACCGGAAUAGAAAGCCACGGCUAACUACGUG
rnacentral:rRNA from 1 species